rnacentral:rRNA from 1 species
UAGGGAAUCUUCGGCAAUGGACGAAAGUCUGACCGAGCAACGCCGCGUGAGUGAAGAAGGUUUUCGGAUCGUAAAACUCUGUUGUUAGAGAAGAACAAGGACGUUAGUAACUGAACGUCCCCUGACGGUAUCUAACCAGAAAGCCACGGCUAACUACGUGCCAGCAGCCGCGGUAAUACGUAGGUGGCAAGCGUUGUCCGGAUUUAUUGGGCGUAAAGCGAGCGCAGGCGGUUUCUUAAGUCUGAUGUGAAAGCCCCCGGCUCAACCGGGGAGGGUCAUUGGCAACUGGGAGACUUGAGUGCAGAAGAGGAGAGUGGAAUUCCAUGUGUAGCGGUGAAAUGCGUAGAUAUAUGGAGGAACACCAGUGGCGCAGGCGGCUCUCUGGUCUGUAACUGACGCUGAGGCUCGAAAGCGUGGGGAGCAAACAGG